UACGUAGGGUGCGAGCGUUAAUCGGAAUUACUGGGCGUAAAGCGUGCGCAGGCGGUUUUGUAAGCCAGAUGUGAAAUCCCCGGGCUUAACCUGGGAAUGGCAUUUGGGACUGCAAGGCUCGAGUGCGGCAGAGGAGACUGGAAUUCCUGGUGUAGCAGUGAAAUGCGUAGAUAUCAGGAGGAACACCGAUGGCGAAGGCAGGUCUCUGGGCUGACACUGACGCUGAGGCGCGAAAGCGUGGGGAGCAAACAGG
rnacentral:rRNA from 1 species